CCUACGGGCGGCUGCAGUGGGGAAUUUUGGACAAUGGGGGCAACCCUGAUCCAGCCAUGCCGCGUGCGGGAAGAAGGCCUUCGGGUUGUAAACCGCUUUUGUCAGGGAAGAAAUCUUCCGAGCUAAUACCUUGGGAGGAUGACGGUACCUGAAGAAUAAGCACCGGCUAACUACGUGCCAGCAGCCGCGGUAAUACGUACGGUGCAAGCGUUCAUCGGGAUUGCGCGGGGUAAUGUGCAAGCAGGCGGUGAAAUCCCCGGGCUUAACCUGGGAACUGCACUUGUGACUGUACGGCUGGAGUACGGCAGAGGGGGAUGGAAUUCCGCGUGUAGCAGUGAAAUGCGUAGAUAUGCGGAGGAACACCGAUGGCGAAGGCAGUCCCCUGGGCCUGUACUGACGCUCAUGCACGAAAGCGUGGGGAGCAAACAGGAUUAGAUACCCUUGUAGUC
rnacentral:rRNA from 1 species